rnacentral:rRNA from 1 species
GUGGGGAAUUUUGGACAAUGGGGGCAACCCUGAUCCAGCCAUGCCGCGUGCGGGAAGAAGGCCUUCGGGUUGUAAACCGCUUUUGUCAGGGAAGAAAUCUUCUGGGCUAAUACCUCGGGAGGAUGACGGUACCUGAAGAAUAAGCACCGGCUAACUACGUGCCAGCAGCCGCGGUAAUACGUAGGGUGCAAGCGUUAAUCGGAAUUACUGGGCGUAAAGCGUGCGCAGGCGGUUGUGCAAGACAGGUGUGAAAUCCCCGGGCUUAACCUGGGAACUGCAAUUGGGACUGCACGGCUGGAGUGCGGCAGAGGGGGAUGGAAUUCCGCGUGUAGCAGUGAAAUGCGUAGAUAUGCGGAGGAACACCGAUGGCGAAGGCAAUCCCCUGGGCCUGCACUGACGCUCAUGCACGAAAGCGUGGGGAGCAAACAGGAUUAGAAACCCCAGUAGUCC